AGUGAACGCUGGCGGCGUGCAUAAUACAUGCAAGUCGAAGGAAGUGGCGCACGGGUGAGUAAUAUAUAGCUAAUCUGCCCCUUGCUGGAGGACAACAGUUAGAAAUGACUGCUAAUACUCCAUAGCAAGGGAUGAGACUAUAUCGUAUCAGCUAGUCGGUGGGGUAACGGCCUACCGAGGCUAUGACGCGUAACUGGUCUGAGAGGAUGAUCAGUUACAUUGGAACUGAGACACGGUCCAAACUCCGACGGUAGGCAGCAGUAGGGAAUAUUGCGCAAUGGGGGAAACCCUGACGCAGCCAAGUAGCGUGAAGAAUGAGGCUCUAUGGGUCGUAAUCUUCUGUUAUAUAAGAGUGCAGUAUGUAUACUGUUUUGUAUGUAUUAUAUGAAUAAGGAUCGGCUAACUCCGUGCCAGCAGCCGCGGUAAUUC
rnacentral:rRNA from 1 species